rnacentral:RNase_P_RNA from 3 species
UCAGUCGGCUGGACGGCCGCUUCGGCAGAGCCCGCGAGGGCGUUCCCCGAAAGGGUGCCGGGGAGGAAAGUCCGGGCUCCACGGACGAACGGUGCCGGAUAACGUCCGGCGGGGGCGACCCCAGGGACAGUGCCACAGAGAAGCAGACCGCCGGCCGCUUCGGCGGCAGGCAAGGGUGAAACGGUGCGGUAAGAGCGCACCGCGGUCGCGGCAACGCGAACGGCACGGCAAACCCCACCGGGAGCAAAACCGAAUAGGGAUGGCGCGGAGAGCGAUCUCCAGGUUCGUCCGGACCAGCCAUCCGGGUAGGUUGCUCGACACGCCGGGUAACCGGCGGUGCAGAGGAAUGGUCGUCACGCGGACGAAGAGUAUGCGUCUUCCGCGAACAGAACCCGGCUUACAGGCGGGCUGACAUG